UGAAGGGAGAGUUUAUCAGGAACCAGGGACAGGAGCACACACCAUGAUUUCACACAUCCAGCUGAUCUGGCCCCUGGCAUUCUGUGUUGCAGGUAUCAGUGGGGACAUCAUCAUGAGCCAGUCUCCCCCGGUGCUGUCAGUGAGACUGGGACAGACUGCAACCAUCACCUGUACGGCCAGUCAAAAUAUUGAUGAUGAUCUUUCCUGGUACCAGCAGCGAGAAGGUCAGAAGCCCAGUCUCCUAAUCUAUGGUGCAACAACUCGAUUCACAGGAGUCUCUGAGCGAUUCACCGGCAGUGGAUACGAUAUAGAAUUCACCCUGACAAUCAGUAAUGUACAGGAAUUGGAUGUUGGUGACUAUUAUUGUAUGCAAGAUGAAGCCUACCCUCUGUGGUACACGUUCGGUAAAGGAACCAAGCUCAGACUGAGCCGUGAGAACUCUCAGCCCAAGCUGACCCUGCUGCCCCCCUCCCCAGAGCAGGUCAAUGCCAAGGGCACUGCCACCCUGGUGUGCCUUGCCAAUCACUUCUAUCCCGAUGAGCUGGAGGUGCAGUGGAAGAAGGACGGUGCAGUCAUUUCGGACGGGGUUCAGACCAGCAGCUACCUGCGAGCUUCGGACAGCACCUACAGUGUCAGCAGCCUGCUGACCCUCUCUGGGUCUGCAUGGGAGUCCAACGCUCGCUUCUCCUGUGCCCUCACACAUGUGACCCUCCCCUCUCCCCUCAGCAAGAGCAUCAGGAGAUCAGAAUGUGUGUAG